UACGUAGGGCGCAAGCGUUGUCCGGAAUUAUUGGGCGUAAAGAGCGUGUAGGCGGUUUGGUAGGUCCGCUGUGAAAACUCGAGGCUCAACCUCGAGACGCCGGUGGAAACCAUCAGACUAGAGUCCGGAAGAGGAGAGUGGAAUUCCUGGUGUAGCGGUGAAAUGCGCAGAUAUCAGGAAGAACACCCGUGGCUAAGGCGGCUCUCUAGUACGGUACUGACGCUGAGACGCGAAAGCGUGGGGAGCGAACAGG
rnacentral:rRNA from 1 species